GAUGAGAACGUAGCGAAAUGCGAUAAGUAAUGUGAAUUGCAGAAUUCAGUGAAUCAUCGAGUCUUUGAACGCACAUUGCGCCCCCUGGUAUUCCGGGGGGCAUGCCUGUCCGAGCGUCAUUGCUGCCCUCAAGCACGGCUUGUGUGUUGGGCCGCCGUCCCCGGUUUCCCCCGGGGACGGGCCCGAAAGGCAGCGGCGGCACCGCGUCCGAUCCUCGAGCGUAUGGGGCUUUGUCACCCGCUCUGUAGGCCCGGCCGGCGCCAGCCGACACCCAACUUUAUUUCUAAGGUUGACCUCGGAUCAGGUAGGGAUACCCGCUGAACUUAAGCAUAUCAAUAAGCGGAGGA
rnacentral:misc_RNA from 1 species